rnacentral:rRNA from 1 species
AUUGAACGCUGGCGACAUGCCUUACACAUGCAAGUCGAACGGUAACAGGUCUUCGGAUGCUGACGAGUGGCGAACGGGUGAGUAAUACAUCGGAACGUGCCUAGUAGUGGGGGAUAACUACUCGAAAGAGUAGCUAAUACCGCAUGAGAUCUACGGAUGAAAGCAGGGGAUCGAAAGACCUUGUGCUACUAGAGCGGCCGAUGGCAGAUUAGGUAGUUGGUGGGAUAAAAGCUUACCAAGCCGACGAUCUGUAGCUGGUCUGAGAGGACGAUCAGCCACACUGGGACUUAGACACGGCCCAGACUCCUACGGGAGGCAGCAGGGGGGACUUUUGGACAAUGGGCGCAAGCCUGACCCAGCAAUGCCGCGUGCAGGAUGAAGGCCUUCGGGUUGUAAACUGCUUUUGUACGGAACGAAAAGCCCUGGGUUAAUACCCUGGGGUCAUGACGGUACCGUAAGAAUAAGCACCGGCUAACUACGUGCCAGCCGCCGCCGUAAGAC